AUUGAACGCUGGCGGCAGGCCUAACACAUGCAAGUCGAGCGAGCGGCGGACGGGUGAGUAAUGUAUGGGGACUGCCCGAUAGAGGGGGAUAACUACUGGAAACGGUGGCUAAUACCGCAUACUAUCCGAUAACCCAUAUGGGAUUAGCUAGUGGGUGGGGUAAAGGCUCACCUAGGCGACGAUCCCUAGCUGGUCUGAGAGGAUGAUCAGCCACACUGGGACUGAGACACGGCCCAGACUCCUACGGAGGCAGCAGUGGGGAAUAUUCGACAAUGGGCGAAAGCCUGAUGGAGCCAUGCCGCGUGUGUGAAGAAGGUCUUAGGUUGGUAAAGUACUUUUAGCGGGGAGGCGUUACCCGCAGAGAAAGCACCGGCUAACUCCGUGCCAGCAGCCGCGGUAAUAC
rnacentral:rRNA from 1 species